UCCUGGUUUCCCAGGCAGUCCCAUCAGAGUGCUCCCUUACGGGAUUGCAACUGACAGCAAGGGUUGCGCUCGUUAUAGGACUUAACCCAACAUCUCACGACACGAGCUGACGACAGCCAUGCAGCACCUGUGUAUGUGUUCAGAGCAAGCUCUGAAAAACUGCGUUUCUGCAGCGGUCACAUACAUGUCAAACCUAGGUAAGGUUCCUCGCGUAGUGUCGAAUUAAACCACAUGUUCCACCGCUUGUGCGGACCCCCGUCAAUUCCUUUAAGUUUUAAUCUUGCGACCGUACUUCCCAGGCGGAUCACUUAACGCGUUAGCUACGAUACUAUCUUUGCAAGCAAAAAUAACAUCUAGUGAUCAUCGUUUACGGCGUGGACUAC
rnacentral:misc_RNA from 1 species